AGGAAGUUGAUGAUGAGGAACCAA
rnacentral:siRNA from 1 species